CACCUCAUGUGGAUAUUACUCCUCUUAACAGCUAAUGGGUUCCGUGAGUGGUAAUAGCAAAGGAGUCUCAGGUUUUGCCCUUAAGGCACUCCAGGGAAGAAUCCAGACUAUCGGUUCAUCACCGCUUAUGAUUCUUCUAUCUCAGUGGCUGUCAUCAAUGGUUGCAGAGGAAGAGGCCAGCUUGACAAUCAGUUUUGUAGUCUGGGGUUCUUCCACAGAUUUAACCGACUGAACCACCCAGGCGCCCUUGACCUGAUCUGGAUCUAAAGGGGACUGAUCAACAGAUACUCUUCUCUCUCUCCUGCCUUUUUCAUAAUGAAGCCAGGCUGAAGGAGUAGCCCUGAUCCUGUUCAUGAGGCAAAGGAAGACUUCCAGUGGUAAAACUACACAAUGGCUUAUAAAGCUUCUGCUUGGAACUGGCAUAUGUUACUUCUAAUCACAUUUCAUUGGCUAAGACAGGUCUUAUGGCCGAGACUGUAAGAAUUAGAAGAAUAUGUAUCAAGCACCUGCCACAUAUUAAGUGAUCGACAAAUGGGAGGAACUGUUCCAACAAGCAGGGCUUUUGACAAAGAAACAGGGCUGAGGAGAGGCCAGAUCCUUGCCAAGAUCAGGAUGCCCAAAUCUGCAGGAAGGCUCAAAAGCAGGGCCUGGCCAGCAACUUCUCUUAGCCCGGCAACCCAGCCUGCUCUCAACUGCGACAGACAUGCGAAUCCAAACAUGUCCUUAAUCUCCUUUUUAAAAGUUUUGUUUUCAUAUUUUCUUUAUUUGUGCAGAAAGCAUCCUUUUUAGAAGUGUAAAAGUUACUGGAAAAGUUACAAAAGGUGGCAUCUACACAGAGGCCGGUGCCUUCAUUCCCUGGCAUCUCAGAAGCAAGGAGAGUUUUACUAGUAAGAACGCUACUGUGCCCGCCCAAAACCAAGCUAAACAGAAGCUAAUGGUAAAUGCCUUCAAUACUUUUUGGAAAAAAAAAAAAAUCCAUCAAAGGUUUUGCUGAAUGAUAUUUAUAAGGGCCUUACUGUUCUCUUUCAAAAACUGAAAUGCCCUUCUCCGACACUUGAAAAAAAUUGCUCGUGCUUUUCAUCUUUUCCUCUUAGAGUGUAAACAUUGUUUUGAGUGAAAAGAGCUGAAGGAGCGCUCACUUUCCCUUGAAAUUUUAUUUUUAAAUAAGAGAGGGAGAAAAUCCUUUUUCUGACUAAUACUAAUAAUACAGGUCAAAGUGUCAGGCGAUAUACAAUUAAAUGGAAAACAAAAAAGGUUCCCCCUCUUUUUCCCACAGCACAAUGGCACUGGAAUAUAAAUUACCAAUGGAGAUGAAAUAAUACUUCAAAGCCUGUAGGGCAGGGCAGUGCAGUGUUUACAAAGUAUUUUCUAUGGCAUGAUGAGACAUUAAAGAUGAUGGUAACCCAUGGACUUGAGGGUGUUAUUGAAUAGUCUAAAACUAGCAUGAGGUAGGAUUUUAGGUCCCUAUAGCCUGUGACCCCGUGAUAGGCUUUGUUUCACAAGGGCAGCUGCAGUUAUCAACAGAUGUUUCAGCAAUAAAUAAUUGGUAUCAUCUCGGAAAAGACCCAUCUACCUGGGGAGAGGGCAUAAUACCAAAAACACUGCCCAGCUAUUACAGCCACAUUAAUCUCCCAUCUCUCCAGGUUUCUUGGGGAGCGUGCUGCAGGUGUUUUUUCUGGGAGAGAGCGAACAAACUCUCUCAAGUCAGCGAGCUUUGUGUGGAGUGUAAAGGAGGUUGGCCCCUGCCAUAAAUUUCUGUCU